GAUGAAGAACGCAGCGAAAUGCGAUAAGUAAUGUGAAUUGCAGAAUUCAGUGAAUCAUCGAAUCUUUGAACGCACAUUGCGCCCGCCAGUAUUCUGGCGGGCAUGCCUGUUCGAGCGUCAUUUCAACCAUCAAGCCCCCGGCCUGUGUUGGGGACCUGCGGCUGCCCGCAGGCCCUGAAAACCAGUGGCGGGCUCGCUGUCACUCCGAGCGUAGUAGCAUAUAUCUCGCUCAGGGCGUGCUGCGGGUUCCGGCCGUUAAAAGCCUUUUUUUACCCAAGGUUGACCUCGGAUCAGGUAGGAAGACCCGCUGAACUUAAGCAUAUCAAUAAGCGAGGA
rnacentral:misc_RNA from 1 species